GGCUGAGGAGAAAGUGGGAACCCCUCGGUGUCCCGGUGCCCCUUUCUCAGGGUGGCUUCUGGCGCGGCACGGGGCCUCGCUGCGCGUUUGCCGCCGCCCUCAGGGAGGCGUUUUCUCCAGCAGGAGCAGCCCCCCAGGCGGGACUCGAACCCCGACUGCCAUCGCGAGCCACCCCCGCGGCAGGCGUGGGCCUUCUCGUCAAGGCCCGGCCACCUCACUCUCGAGGCGGGAAGGAGCCGCACGACGGCCGCCUCCGGAUGCAACGGUCCCCGGGACGCGCUCCAUGGCCCCGCCUCCACCCCCCGCGCCAACUCGGAAAACGCUCGGGAAGAAUCCCGGGGGCCUCGGGGACCGGGACCAGGACCAGGCGCCGGACGCUGAUGGGAAGGAGGGGACACCCGGAGUUAGGGACAAAGUCACGAGGCCACUCGCAGAGCCCUCGCGCGCGUGUUCAUCGACUGCCCCCUGGGCGGUGACCUUAUUCAGCAAGACCUGAGCUCAGGGGCGGGGUGACAUCUAACUGGAGUCAUCAUGAUGGAGCCACGUGGUCCAACAGUGCCCGGUCCUUGUAACCAGGAGGGCCCGCAGUGUCACCACUUCCUCGAAGUGAGGCCACUGCCCUCAGCUUCUUGGAGACAGCAGAUAUGAGCAGAAACCCCCAAAAGUCAGGAGCAAAUUUGUUUCAGAAUCUCUCCAAAUCUGUGGCUUAAAACAAGUUCAGAGGGAUUUUGGUGCACAGCUACAGACUGAGCUGGUUUACUGCACAUUUAUAAAUGGAAAUCUUUAUUUCUUUUCCUCUCUAUGUUUUUAAGAAAUCCUGUUGCAAGGUCAUUAAUCACGUUAUCCAUUAUACCACAAACAAAUGGAUUUGUCACUUGUGCGCAGAAGCCGAGG
rnacentral:lncRNA from 1 species